ACAGAGGGGGCAAGCGUUGUUCGGAAUUACUGGGCGUAAAGCGUGCGCAGGCGGCUUUGCAAGACAGAUGUGAAAUCCCCGGGCUUAACCUGGGAACUGCAUUUGUGACUGCAUGGCUAGAGUGCGGCAGAGGGGGAUGGAAUUCCGCGUGUAGCAGUGAAAUGCGUAGAUAUGCGGAGGAACACCGAUGGCGAAGGCAAUCCCCUGGGCCUGCACUGACGCUCAUGCACGAAAGCGUGGGGAGCAAACAGGA
rnacentral:rRNA from 1 species